CAUGGUUCUGGGUCAGGCAUUUGCAAAUUUGUACAUUUUGAGGAAGUACAAGCUUAGAGUUGUUUUUUUUCUAUGUUCAAUCACUGGUCCAUGU